rnacentral:lncRNA from 1 species
GGGAUUAGUUUUUUUUUUUCAUUUUUUAUUUUCUAUUGCAUUUCUUUUGAAAAAAAUAAACAUGCUAUGAUGCACAUGAUGCAGACACGACUGGCAAGCUGUGCAUCUCUGAACACAGGAUCGAAGCUUAGGCUCGAACUCUGAUCACAAACAUCUGAAACCCAAAGUCAACUGAUCAACUGUCCUCUGAACCCAAUCUGAGAAAUUGAGUCACCAACAGAACCCCG